rnacentral:lncRNA from 1 species
AAUGUUUUAUAAUUUUCGCAAUUGGCGCGAUUCGUAGGAAGGAAGAUUGCAUCAGUCGACCUUUCUUGUGGGCGAGCUGACGCGAACUCAAAAGCAGUUCCUUAUCUUUGGCCAUCGACAAGAUGCCGAAGUACAUUCAAUGCUAAUAUGAUAGGAAACUGAAUCCUUAGUGCCUUUUAAGCAAACUUGGUGGCGAUGAGGUUGUAAAAAAUCGGCCAAGCUUCCAAACUCUGUUACAACCGUAGCUUCCUCCUGCGCCAGAUGGAAGGAUUCUAAAACAUACGCUGUCAGGAGGAUCCGCGAUAAUCUCAUACUCAUUAUAAGAACAACGACUUGCUUUCGACAUAGCCACGCUUGACAAAGGGAAGAAAACUACACUUCUGAGUGACAACCUUUUGCGCUCAAAGCUGUCCCCGGGUUAUCUUCCCUUUUUGCGUUGCAUCCGUGGCAGAGCUACCGGGUCCCCUUUCUCGCUGUUUCCGAGAUCCCAGCCAGAACAGCGAAGUGCUUCGAUCUCCGUUGCCCGUUCGUUUCUCGUCCGAGAGGAACACGCUGCUAUAACAACACUAACCUGCCAUUUGGGCUGCUGCUGAUGCUGAAUAUACUUCGAACAAAUCAAACAGCAGCAAAUGGCUUUGUAAGGAAAAUGAACGGAUUGCAAAUGACCUGAAUCAAAUAAGGUAGAUCAGAGCUCCCAAGCAACUCCGCGUCCCUCCCCCUUCCCCCAGCCGUACGAACCGCGGCCGUCCCUCUUCCUUUUUUUUACCCGUGCUGCGACCCUCUACCUUCCUCAUCCGUCGACGUGUUAAUAUAUAUCCCACCGGUAUGAGUACUAUACGCACGAAGUGGACCUCAGGCCUCCGAAUCGGACGACCAUGCCCAUGCCUCGCAGGAAGUGGACUGCAAACGCCGCACAGCCUGACGACAGAGCUCCCAGGCACACAAGCACCAGCGCUGCCAGAGCCCAUCUAUCAAAACGCAUGAUACGGGCUUUCGACCGGCUGAAAUGAUGCAAAUCAUCACGCUUUGGCGCCCCUGUCGCACGUUCUUUUCGUCAGCAUCACGCCGCGCGUCGCCACGUCAAGCAGUAGCCAACCCAACCCAACCCAGGCCAACUACGCGGCGAGACGGGUAAAAAAGAAGGAGCGUCCUGCUUUGGCGGCACAUGGCCUAACGGAAUCCCAAAACCCGUUUUACAGGUCGGUACUCCAACUCAUACCAGCGAACUUGCCAACCGCUUCUAAGCUAACGCGCCCCGGGCACGCUCGCGAACCAGCGGAUGGCCAUUUGGAUGAAUCGCUCCAGCGCCGGGACCUGACGCCUGUACGGCAACGUGAGGUCAUUAAUCUUCCGCCAAACCUGCAAAGCAGGGUCAGCAGCCCCGUGAUACGGGUUUGCGAAGGCGGGGCGGAGGAGUCAGUGGAGUCAGUAGAAAUCGGUCAAGGCAGGCCAUGAGGCAACGCGCCCAUGAAGACCUGAGGCAGUGAUGGCGAAACGGCCAAUCGUGAUGGGCCAAAAUGGCUUGUUCCCCUUUAGGGGAUGGGAUGGGGAACAAGUUGCAGUGUAGCUCGCGCUAGUAAGCUCAGAAGUCGUGGAGACGAUUCGACAUGUGUGUGUGUGUGUGUGUUACAUGGUUGGGGGUGCGUGACCCCAUACCUGUAAGACUACCCAUAAGAGCCGAAGGCCCAAGGCCCUUGGGCCAAGGGCAAUACUACAACCCCUAAAAGCCACGAUUCGACAUGCGCCGGGAAGGAUGCCCGUCUCCACAAUAUACACGAACGAACACAUAGCCCUGCGGUGCCCUACAUCCCAUAUUUACGAAGCUUAAUUACUAAGUCGAAACUUUAAACUCUUUCUUUUUUCAAAUGAUCUCCCCAGAGAACCCUAGCCCGCAAUAGAGGGCCUCGCGUUUCCCAUGCCUGGCUCUCGGCCGGCUAUUAUUGACGUCAUCGGCAAGCCAGACGGUCUCCAGUGUCAAUGAUAUUCCAGCACAACUCUUGCUCCUCUAUUUCACACAGCUCUGGAACCCUGAUGCCAUACCCCGAUGAUGCCAUUGCCUACCUGUCUGUUUGUCUAUAUGCCAUACAAUGACAGUAAGUCUGUUUAUGUAUCUGUCUUACGGAUAUCCAAGUAAAGCCAGGAACAGGAAGGAGUCGGAGACACAUCCCCAAACCCCGCAACUCCUCCUCCCGCCGCCUUUCCCCUUUUCCCACCUGCCGAUGUUGCGGUGCGCUGUCCGGCACGUGCAGCUUGAGCUUCAGAAUCUGUCCGUAAAACACCAGAGUGAGGAGGCUGCGAGCUGGUGUAAGCAGCUGCAGCACCAACAAGGCCGCGGUACCGAUCUCACAAAAGGCGUUGAGCAGCAGCGCGUCGGCCUGGCGAAGGAGGGAGGGGUUGCGUGGGAUUACAUAAAGUCCCUGCAGUAACCCCCUAGGCACACGUACACACACACACACACACACCACGCCACACACACACGCACACACACCAUUUCCGCCUGCGCGCUUAAAUCACAGCCUGGCCCGGUCCUCAGUCCGCCUGCCUCCCUCAUCCCUGACUUCUCCUUCUUUUUUUGACGCCUUCAGGCAGCAGGUCAUUUAUCUGCAUUCCUUGCAGCAUAUGAUUUCCCCCUCCCCCUCUCCCUCCCCCUCCCCCUCUCCCUCCCCCUCCCCCUCCCCCUCUCCCGCGACCCGGGGGUGAGCACCGGGCGCACUCAGACCGCCUACCUGCUUUCGAAGCAUCGCCACGUGUAGGCGGCUGCCGUACCGCUGCCACAGAGCAUG